AUUUAUAUAGUUUAAGGAAAACCUAUCAUUUUCAAUGAUAAAUUGAGAAUUAUCUUUAUAAAUA
rnacentral:tRNA from 1 species